GAUGAACGCUGGCGGCGUGCCUAAUACAUGCAAGUAGAACGCUGAAGGAGGAGCUUGCUCUUCUGGAUGAGUUGCGAACGGGUGAGUAACGCGUAGGUAACCUGCCUUGUAGCGGGGGAUAACUAUUGGAAACGAUAGCUAAUACCGCAUGACAACAGUUAUUGCAUGAUAACUGUUUAAAAGGGGCAACUGCUCCACUACCAGAUGGACCUUCGUUGUAUUAGCUAGUUGGUGAGGUAACGGCUCACCAAGGCGACGAUCCAUAGCCGAAAGGAGAGGGGGAGUAGCCACACUGAGACGGAGACAGGGCCCAGAGGCAUACGGGAGGGAGCAGUAGGGAAUCUGCGGGAAUGGGCGGAAGACAGAGCGAGCAACGCCGAGGGAGUGAAGAAGGUUGUCGGAUCGGAAAGCUCGGUUGUAAGGGAAGAACGAGUGUGAGAGUGGAAAGUACACACUGUGACGGUAACUGACCAGAAAGGGACGGCUAACUACGUG
rnacentral:rRNA from 1 species